rnacentral:rRNA from 1 species
AAGAGCACAGCGAUAGCCCCAGUAACGGCGAGUGAAGCGGCUACAGCUCAAAUUUGAAAUCUGGCCCCCUCUGGGGGUCCGAGUUGUAAUUUGCAGAGGAUGCUUUGGCGUUGGCGGCGGUCUAAGUUCCUUGGAACAGGACAUCGCAGAGGGUGAGAAUCCCGUACGUGGGCGCCUGCCUUCGCCGUGUAAAGCUCCUUCGACGAGUCGAGUUGUUUGGGAAUGCAGCUCUAAAUGGGAGGUAAAUUUCUCCUAAAGCUAAAUACCGGCCAGAGACCGAUAGCGCACAAGUAGAGUGAUCGAAAGAUGAAAAGUACUUUGGAAAGAGAGUCAAACAGCACGUGAAAUUGUUGAAAGGGAAGCGCUUGCAGCCAGACGUGCCCGCAGUUGCUCACCCAGGCUCCCGCCUGGGGCACUCUUCUGCGCGGCAGGCCAGCAUCGGUUUGGGCGGUCGGACAAAGGCCUCUGUCAUGUACCACCCUUCGGGGUGGCCUUAUAGGGGAGGCGUAACGCGACCAGCCCGGACCGAGGUCCGCGCAUCUGCUAGGAUGCUGGCGUAAUGGCUGUAAGCGGCCCGUCUUGAAACACGGACCAAGGAGUCUAACAUCUAUGCGAGUGUUUGGGUGUCAAGCCCGGGCGCGCAAUGAAAGUGAACGGAGGUGGGAACCCCUCGGGGCGCACCAUCGACCGAUCCUGAUGUCUUCGGAUGGAUUUGAGUAAGAGCAUAGCUGUUGGGACCCGAAAGAUGGUGAACUAUGCUUGAAUAGGGUGAAGCCAGAGGAAACUCUGGUGGAGGCUCGCAGCGGUUCUGACGUGCGAAUCCAUCUUCCAAUUUUGGGACAAGGGCGCAAAAAACUAUUCUACUCUCCUACUAG